AACGAACGCUGGCGGCGCGCCUAAUACAUGCAAGUCGAGCGAGAAGACGUAGCAAUACGUUUGUAAAGCGGCGAACGGGUGAGGAAUACAUGGGUAACCUACCCUCGAGUGGGGAAUAACUAGCCGAAAGGUUAGCUAAUACCGCGUACGCUCCUUGGACUUCGGUUCAGGGAGGAAAGCGAUACCGUGGGUAUCGCGCUCUUGGAUGGGCUCAUGUCCUAUCAGCUUGUUGGUGAGGUAACGGCUCACCAAGGCUUCGACGGGCAGCUGUUCUGAGAGGACGAUCAGCCACACUGGCACUGCGACACGGGCCAGACUCCUACGGGAGGCAGCAGUAAGGAAUAUUGCGCAAUGGGCGAAAGCCUGACGCAGCGACGCCGCGGUGGGGGA
rnacentral:rRNA from 1 species